GCUUUUACCAAGCAACCCAGGUAUCUUGAUACAGGGAGAUCCCCUGUAUUGUAAAAAACCCACUUCACACAAUAGCACCAUUAUCCCCAAUAUACAAGAGAAUUGAUUCAAGGACAACUGUUUAGGAGAAUAGUUAGAUUUAAACCAGACCUACCUUUUGGGUGAAAAAUAAAAUAAAAAAAAGUUUAAAAAGUUUACAGGAAGGAGCAGACUUUUUGGGGUCGAAAGGGAUUUGUACUCGAGGAAACUCCAGUGAGAAGAGGAUCAUGUGGAGCAUUCUGUAUACAGAACUGCUUUAAAUCUGCUGCAGCCUGCGAUACCUGGAGACAGAAAGAGCAAUAGAAAUACAUUUAAUCUAUUUUAUAAAACAUAAAAU